UUCUUCUUCUUUUUGCCUUUUCCUCUCUCACGUAUUCUCACACACCAUUAGCAUACUUGCCCUUUUACAUACUCUCUUCAGGAGGAUGCUCUCAGUUCCAUGUGCCGACAGUACUUGACAUAAUCCGCGUGGGCAAAAGCCAA
ensembl:ncRNA F35G2.13 ncRNA